AAUGAACGCUGGCGGCAGGCCUAACACAUGCAAGUCGAGCGCCCCGCAAGGGGAGCGGCGGACGGGUGAGUAACGCGUGGGAACGUACCCUUUGCUACGGAAUAGCCUCGGGAAACUGGGAGUAAUACCGUAUGUGCCCUUCGGGGGAAAGAUUUAUCGGCAAAGGAUCGGCCCGCGUUGGAUUAGCUAGUUGGUGGGGUAAUGGCCCACCAAGGCGACGAUCCAUAGCUGGUUUGAGAGGAUGACCAGCCACACUGGGACUGAGACACGGCCCAGACUCCUACGGGAGGCAGCAGUGGGGAAUCUUAGACAAUGGGCGCAAGCCUGAUCUAGCCAUGCCGCGUGAGCGAUGAAGGCCUUAGGGUUGUAAAGCUCUUUCGCUGGGGAAGAUAAUGACUGUACCCACAGAAGAAGCCCCGGCUAACUCCGUGCCAGCCGCCGCAGUAA
rnacentral:rRNA from 1 species